CGCGUAAAUCUUGGCAGUGUCACCCCCGUGCUCAAAGGAUUCAACUCUUUUUAACCUACAAAAAAUUUAAUAACAAAAUUUAAUUUGAAUAUUAUUUAGUUUAAGUGUUGUUUUUGUGAGAAAGAUGAGUAGAACUAUAUAACUUGGUGUGACUCAAUGUUUUCACAUUUGAAGCUUGAUAGCAAAUUUAUUCACUCGGCACGCGUCAUAUAACCUAUAUUUUUGAUGAAAAGGUUGACAAUACUCAUUUAAAAAAACAAGAUUUAAGGAGGUUCAAGACACUUUUUAUUAAAAAAUAACAGAAGAUGGAAUAUAGUAAACCAAAUAGCAGUAUAUAAAAAAUGAAAAUAGAAGAAAACUAAUAAUAUUCGUAUUUUUUGUUCUCAUUAAAAAACUGAACAUUUUUCUUAUGAUUAACAAUUAUAUUUAGUAUCAGUAAUAAUUUUACUGUGAAAAUUUUAUCGAGUAUUCACGUUGCUAUAUAUAUACGAUAAAAUGGGAGGCGGAGAUUUGAAUUUAAAAAAGUCAUGGCAUCCAUCUACUAUGAAGAAUAUGGAAAAAGUAAGAAAAGCAGAACAGCAGAAUGAUCAAGAGAAUAAAAGAAUAGCUGAAUUGAAAAAGGAGAUUGAAAUAGAGAAAGAUUUGGAAGACAUAAAAAAAUAUGCUGUAGAACAAGGUGUAAUAGAAAAGAAGGAUGAUAAGAAAUUAGACUGGAUGUAUAAAGGACCAAAACAAAUGAUUAACAGAGAAGAGUAUUUGUUAGGAAGGCCAGUUGACAAGGCUUUUGAGCAAAUGCAACAGGCGGAAAAAGAUGUAGAAUUGAAUAGGAUGCCAAAGAAUCAUGUUGAGUACGAAUGCAUUCCACCUUCACUGCGAUUUUUCUCUGGUAAUGAACAAGUGGAUCUGGCUAGAAAAAUACAAGAAGAUCCUCUAUACGCCAUAAAGAAGAAAGAAAUAGAAACUAGGAAUCAGCUUUUGAAAAAUCCUGUUAAACUAAAACAACUUAAGGAAUUGUUGGAGCAACAAUCAUGCAAAGAUAAAAGUGAAAAGAAAAAGAAGAAGUUAAAGAAGAAAGAUAGUAGUGAAGAUGAGGCUAAAUUGGAUAUUUUAUUAGCUACUAAAUAUAAACAGUUAAAAGACAAUAUCAUUGAAAAAAAUUUGCUGAAAUCAAUGAAAAAAAUAAAACAUAAGCGAAUGAAAAAGUCAAAGAAGCAUUAUCAUGAUUCUGAUAGUGAAACUGAUAGCAGCAAUGAAGACAAAUCUAUUAAAAAAGAACGACGCAAACGAAAAAAACGAAAGAGAAGUACAAGUGAUAGUGAUAAUGACAGUACUGAUAGUAAUAGUAGAGAUGUUACUAAUAAACAUGAGAAGAAGAAUAAUAAAGAGGAAUAUGACAAGAAAGGUUCGAGAAACGAUACAAAAAUAGAUGAUAUCGAGAAACAAGUUAGAAAAAAAAAAUUGAGUGAAGAUAGUAAUCUAAAGCACGAAAGAAGCAAAAAGCACAGAGAAGAAUAUAAUAAGAAUGAUAAUCGGCAACGAUACGACAGUAAACAAAGGGAUGGUUCAAGAAAUAAAUACAAUGAUAAAAAUUAUUCAGUGGAGACACAAAACAAUACAAAAAAAUUGCGCGCGAGCGUAGCUCGUCAGGAUUUAUCCAGGGCACGAUCCGGGUCCGAAAGAAUUAGACGUAUUUAAAAAGGAAAGAAACAAACAGAAUUUAUUCAGAAAAUAUAUACAGCGUUACUCUUGGUAAUGACGAAGACGACAUAAACAAAGCGAGCGAGAAAUGGACGGCACCGGUAAAUUUACGUCGUCGGCGGUGUAAUUUAUCAGUGACGGUCGGCGAUUCUGGCACGAUCGGAUGGCCGGAAGGACGAGUUACAAUUAUUGAUGCUUUAUAUCGGCGUGAAAUUCCUGUAAUGCGCACCGUCGAAAUGAUCGCGGCAGGUGCGUGUGCUUUCCAGCGUCAUCGAGCGCGUCAUCGAGUCGGACUUCGUGUUGAACCUCGGCAGGGUACAAAUGUAUCGAUUAACGGAGAUUCCGUUAAACCAAAGAUCUCUUAGUAAAGCCAUUGGGCUAAAUUGUCUAUCACCCACCAGAACCGCAGAAUUCAGAAACGUGGAAGAACAGAAUUAAAAAUCUAAAAGAUCAACAAAAGACGAAUAGAUACAAGAAGUCAAACUCUCAACCAUAUAUAGUAUAUAGUAUAUAGUAUAUCGAAUCCCUUUCUGAAACAGAAAAUGUGGGAAAUCUACAUCCAAUCAGUAUUGGAAAUAAAUUGUUUUAGGCCAACGUUCAAGACAUUGAAAGAAUCAGGAAAAUUGGUAAAAAGAUCGUGGUCAGGUUUAAAUUUCAUUUUGAAGCCAAUUUAUGUGUCAACAAACAGAGACUAGAUGGUAACAACUGGAUUACUUAUAUCCCUAAUCACAAGGUUCGUAGAUCCUGUAUAAUUAAAGGUAUUAGCUCGAAAAGUGGACUAGAUGAAAUAAAAAAGAAUAUUAAAGUUAACAAUUCUAAUAUUGAAAUAAUAUAUAGGCUGAAAGACUCAAAUUUUGGAAUAGAUCUAGAAGACACUUAGCGAAUCUAAUAAUAUUAAGUUGGAAAUUACUUCAAAUUUGCUACUCGAAAUUGCCAUUUACUGGGUAAGAUUUAGAAUAUUCUCUUUUGUUAGAAAAAUUAGAAGUUGCAAAAAAUGCCUCAGAUGGGGGCACAGCGAUUUUAACUGUCGCGGUAAAGUAAGGACAAAAAUCAGAUCUAACAUCCCGGCAAAUAAAGUUGAUGCGAACGGAGAUUAUGCGUCGGUAGAAUGCAUUAAUUGUGGAAGGGAGAGGGGGCAUAGAUCAGCUGAUACAAAUUGCCUCAGUUGUCAGAAAUAUAAGUUGAUUAACAAAGUGAUGGCUUAUUGUAAUACAAAUUAUUUUACUGCAAAAAGAUUAAUCAAACAAAAAAAUAUAACAGAUUUGGCAGACGUAGAGUUCAAAUGUAAGAGCCACGCUUAUCUAGCAUGGAAUAAGGACUUACUUGACUUUAAUUCGGAUUAGAUUAAUAACCCGAGGCCCUUCAAGGGCUUAUGAUAAAAA